UACGAAGGGGGGCUAGCGUUGUUCGGAAUUACUGGGCGUAAAGCGUGCGCAGGCGGUCUUCCAAGUCAGUGGUGAAAGCCCGGAGCUCAACUCCGGAACUGCCAUUGAAACUGUGAGACUCGAGUACGAGAGAGGUGAGUGGAAUUCCCCAGUGUAGAGGUGAAAUUCGUAGAUAUUGGGAAGAACACCGGUGGCGAAGGCGGCUCACUGGCUCGUAACUGACGCUCAGGCACGACAGCGUGGGGAUCAAACAGG
rnacentral:rRNA from 1 species